AUUGAACGCUAGCGGGAUGCUUUACACAUGCAAGUCGAACGAGUGGCGGACGGGUGAGUAAUAUAUCGGAAAGUGCACAGUAGCGGGGGAUAACUACUCGAAAGAGUGUCUAAUACCGACUACUAUUGGAGCGGACGAUACCGGAUGAGCUAGUGGGGGGGGGAAAGGCUCACCAAGGCAACGAUCCGUAGCUGGUUUGAGAGGACGACCAGCAACAAUGGGACUGAGACACGGCCCAGACUCCUACGUGAGGCAGCAGUGGAGAAUUUUGGACAAUGGGGGAAACCCUGAUCCAGCCAUCCCGCGUGUAUGAGAAGGCCUGCGGGUUGUAAAGUACUUUUGGCAGAGAAGCGGUAUCUGCAGAAUAAGCACCGGCUAACUCCGUGCCAGCCGCCGCGGUAAUAC
rnacentral:rRNA from 1 species